AGAUUUCCGGUUGAUCCCGCCGGACCUGACUGCUAUCGGAUUGAUACUAAGCCAUGCGAGUCUUUGCAGUAAUGCAAGGCAUACGGCUCAGUAACACGUAGUCAACUUACCCUAUGGACGAGGAUAAUCUCGGGAAACUGAGCAUAAUACUCGAUAGAUCAUAAUGCCUGGAAUGGUUUAUGGUUGAAAUGAUUCGUCGCCAUAGGAUGGGACUGCGGCCUAUCAGCUUGUUGGUGAGGUAAUGGCCCACCAGGGCGAUUACAGGUACGGGCUCUGAGAGGAGAAGCCCGGAGAUGGGUACUGAGACAAGGACCCAGGCCCUAUGGGGCGCAGCAGGCGAGAAAACUUUGCAAUGUGCGAAAGCACGACAAGGUUAAUCCGAGUGAUUUCUGCUAAAGAAAUCUUUUGCAAGUCAUAAAACCACUAGUGAAUAAGGGGUGGGCAAGUUCUGGUGUCAGCCGCCGCGGUAAAACCAGCACCUCAAGUGGUCAGGAGGAUUAUUGGGCCUAAAGCAUCCGUAGCCGGCUCUGUAAGUUUUCGGUUAAAUCCAUGUGCUCAACGCAUGGGCUGCCGAAAAUACUGCAUAGCUAGGGAGUGGGAGAGGUAGACGGUACUCGGUAGGAAGGGGUAAAAUCCUUUGAUCUAUCGAUGACCACCUGUGGCGAAGGCGGUCUACCAGAACACGUUCGACGGUGAGGGAUGAAAGCUGGGGGAGCAAACCGGAUUAGAUACCCGGGUAGUCCCAGCUGUAAACGAUGCAGACUCGAUGAUGCAUUGGCAUAUAGCCAGUGCAGUGUCGC
rnacentral:rRNA from 2 species